UCUCCCACCCUACCCGAUCCAUACUUGCAUUUCUCCAUCUCUCUCUGCUCUGCUAGGGCCGAACGGCUGCCCUCCGAUGGUCGCCGGCGUGCAGACACCCGAUCAGGAGUACCAGACGCUGCUGAAACUCCAGCCUCGCGAGCCCUUCGUUGCCGUUCUCCGCCGCGAGCAGAAGCCUCCAGCUGGUGGAGCAGUGGCCUCGCAGGGGUCGCGACGGUGGGGGCAUUGAACAAUCAGAGGUAUGCCGUCGCAGCUGGUGGAGCGGUGGCCUCGCAGGGGUCGACGGUGGUCUCUGCUCUAAGUUUCGUAUGAAGUUGUUUGGAGGCUUUGAUGUAUUCCAAUUAUUUGGCUUGGUGUAUUUUGAGAUUUGGGAUUCGUUGGCUU